rnacentral:lncRNA from 1 species
AAGUAUGGCAAGCAAUCAUCCAUUCCAGAAACCUACCCGCAGUCAGAUCUAUUUCGGCACUCCCUGCCUCUUCCCAGCAAGAGGAGGAUGGAAAGAAGGAUUAGAUGAAUAAGCUGGUUAUGAAAAGUCAGUUCACAAUUCCCCUCUGAAAGAUAAAUCCAAGGACACGGGCAACACAGACAGUAAGUUUUUAUUUCCAUGGCAAAUAUUUGAAAAAUAUACCUGCUUACAGAUCUGGUACAGCAUAC